AAAAUCUUUCUGGAAGAUCUGAUUGCUUAUCUCUGUGGAGGCUGGAGAACUACUUGAUCUAGUUAUCUGCUGAUUUAUUAUUUAAUACUGAUCUUACUGCUUGCAACAAGAAACUGAGCUGAAAAAAAAAGUGAUUUUGAAUAGAAGCAGAAUGAGAACAUGAGAAAUGUGGUGCUCUGUUCUCUUAUUUUGUUACACUGCUUAUACAUCUUACCUACAACCUGGAAAUAACUGUAAUGUGCAUCAGUUAGAAAGAUGAAAUUUUAAUCCAAUGCAACCACUCAUUUAGGCAAUCCCCCUUUACCUGUGCUUAAGGGGGUAUAAACUGUUCAUGCUGAUUUAUCCAUGACUAAAAACAACAAAACAAGCGAUCAGUGCACACACACAAACACACAAAAACCAAAAGGAACAAGCAGAUUCUUUUUUCUCCCUGUAUUUAUUAACUGUGUUUAUUUCUUAUAGGUAUGAAGAAAUGCAGCUUUGGUAGAUGCUCUCCACAAAAAACAGCUAUUAAUACAAAAUAUGCACUGGAAACAACGUGAAACAGCUGUGAAUAUUAAUGACAACGAUGGCUUCCCAGGGUACUCCUGACCAAAGCCUACAUGGGAUGGGAUUCUCCAUGGCUCCAUUAAAAUGCUUUAGAAGAGAUGUGAAAACAUCCAGGUAUUACGCCCGAUCAUCAUUGUAGGAACUUUAUUCUGCAGAACUUCCCUCAGCAAUGGGACCAGCUGCUUGGUAGUGCAUGUCUCUGUCUUUAUUUCUGAAUGAAACGGUGCAAUCGUUUCUUAAUGUCAUUCAAAAAGUAGCAUUCAGUGAAAUAUAUAAAAGUAAAAGUAUUGACAGUGAUUCUGUCGUAUUCCACUAAGCAUAGUGAUUCUAUGGCAAGAUUUUUAUUCCUAAGGAUGUUUGUUCUUAGUCUUGGCCAACUGAGAAGUUGAUAUUUGUUGACUUGCGUUCCUUUAGGAUCAGUAACGGAAUGUUGCAGGUUGGGGGUUUACAAUUAGACACUAGGUAUUUUAAAAGGAAACUGUUUUCAUCAAUCUUGAAAGUUCUUUAACCAUUUAACUUCUGUUAUGUACUGUAACAUACAAACUGCACAAAUAGUGUAGUCAUAAAUAUGCUUAAACUUAAUUCAGGAAAAUGAUGUUGAAAGUAUACCACAGUUGCGUAUCUGUAUGUAAUGGAAUUACUAUCAUUGACUUUGAGUACAAAACCAACUGCAAGUAGUGAUGUGAUCAUA
rnacentral:lncRNA from 1 species